rnacentral:rRNA from 1 species
ACAGAGGGGGCGAGCGUUGUUCGGAAUUACUGGGCGUAAAGGGCGCGUAGGUGGCCUGCUAAGUCGAACGUGAAAUCCCUGGGCUCAACCCAGGAACUGCGUCCGAUACUGGUUGGCUUGAAUCCGGGAGAGGGAUGUGGAAUUCCAGGUGUAGCGGUGAAAUGCGUAGAUAUCUGGAGGAACACCGGUGGCGAAGGCGACAUCCUGGACCGGUAUUGACGCUGAGGCACGAAAGCGUGGGGAGCAAACAGGA